AAAACAGCCCACAGGCCCGUCCCUGUGAUCAAAGCAAAGGGAGGUGAAGAUAAGGUAUAUAAGCACUGGAUUUCCCUCUCAAAGACACUCUGCUACCUGCUACUGCUGCAAGUGCAAACUCACCUGAUCGUCACAACAAGAUGGAUUUUAGUAUGGGGAUUCCUCUCUUCACGGCUACGGCCUGUGGAAUGUCGCUUGAACCAGGUGUAAGUAAUGUGCACAAUGAAUUAUUCAUUUUAAAAACUCCUUUACUUUUGAUUGUAAACUUAAGCCAAUUUUGAAACACUGUGUGUCUUUACACAGGCCUGGAUGUAUGGCCUCCCCCUCUGCACUGGGGAAUACUGAUGGGAGCACAUGCAUCCGACACAUCUACAGGGAGAGAUGAUGGCAGCCAUAGCGACUGUGAUGGGAAGGCCUCCUCUUUCUGUGCCAGGCACCUGUGAAGAUCCCCACCAGGUGCUGACACAUGUGCCAUCAGGAUCCCCACUGAUGAUGUCACUUCCAGCAGUAUGACAUCACUGCUGGCAAAUCUAUUGACAGUUCUGAUGAAAUUUCAGCACAAUCAAUAAACAGAUGCAAACUCCCCAA